CAGCAGCCGCGGUAAUACGUAGGGUGCAAGCGUUAAUCGGAAUUACUGGGCGUAAAGCGUGCGCAGGCGGUUAUAUAAGACAGAUGUGAAAUCCCCGGGCUCAACCUGGGAACUGCAUUUGUGACUGUAUAGCUAGAGUACGGCAGAGGGGGAUGGAAUUCCGCGUGUAGCAGUGAAAUGCGUAGAUAUGCGGAGGAACACCGAUGGCGAAGGCAAUCCCCUGGGCCUGUACUGACGCUCAUGCACGAAAGCGUGGGGAGCAAACAGGAUUAGAUACCCCCGUAGUCCCUGUCUCUUAUAU
rnacentral:rRNA from 1 species